UAGGGAAUAUUGGACAAUGGGUGAGAGCCUGAUCCAGCCAUGCCGCGUGCAGGAAGAAGGCGUUAUGCGUUGUAAACUGCUUUUUGCCAGGGGAUAAAAUGACCGUGCGCGGUUAAUUGAAGGUACCUGGUGAAUAAGCCACGGCUAACUACGUGCCAGCAGCCGCGGUAAUACGUAGGUGGCAAGCGUUGUCCGGAUUUAUUGGGUUUAAAGGGUGCGUAGGUGGCCCUGUAAGUCAGUGGUGAAAUAUCUCAGCUUAACUGAGAGGGUGCCAUUGAUACUGCAGGGCUUGAGUACAGAUGAGGUAGGCGGAAUUGACGGUGUAGCGGUGAAAUGCGUAGAUAUCGGAAGGAACAUCGGUGGCGAAGGCGUCUACCUGGCCUAAUACUGACACUGAGGCACGAAAGCGUGGGGAGCAAACAGGAUUAGAUACCCCAGUAGUCCCUGAGCGGGCUGGCAAGGCGCAU
rnacentral:rRNA from 1 species